UACGGAGGGGGUUAGCGUUGUUCGGAAUCACUGGGCUUAAAGCGUAUGUAGGCGGAACAGUAAGUCAGAAGUGAAAGCCUGGGGCUCAACCCCAGAACUGCUUUUGAAACUACUGUUCUAGAAUCCUGGAGAGGUUGGGAGAAUUCCGAGUGUAGAGGUGAAAUUCGCAGAUAUUCGGAGGAAUACCAGUGGCGUAGGCGCCAAACUGGACAGGUAUUGACGCUCAGAUACGAAAGCGUGGGGAGCAAACAGG
rnacentral:misc_RNA from 1 species